UUGGAGGGCAAGUCUGGUGCCAGCAGCCGCGGUAUUUCCAGCUCCAAUAGCGUAUAUUAAAGUUGUUGCAGUUAAAAAGCUCGUAGUUGAAUUUCGAGAUCAAAUUGUUGGUCGUGCCUUGGUACGUACUGGCAUUAUUGAUUUCUCCCUUCUGAAGAACCACGAUGUCAUUAAUUUGGUGUCAUGGGGAAUCAGGACUGUUACUUUGAAAAAAUUAGAGUGUUCAAAGCAAGCUAGCGCUUGAAUACAUUAGCAUGGAAUAAUGAAAUGGGACGUUCGAUCCUAUUUUGUUGGUUUCUAGGAUUGACGUAAUGAUUAAUAGGGAUAGUUGGGGGCAUUAGUAUUCAAUCGUCAGAGGUGAAAUUCUUGGAUUUAUUGAAGACUAACUACUGCGAAAGCAUUUGCCAAGGAUGUUUUCAUUAAUCAAGAACGAAAGUUAGGGGAUCGAAGACGAUCAGAUACCGUCGUAGUCUUAACCAUAAACUAUGCCGACUAGGGAUCGGAUGAUGUUAAUUUUAUAAUGACUCAUUCGGCGCCUUACGGGAAAC
rnacentral:rRNA from 1 species